rnacentral:rRNA from 1 species
CCUACGGGAGGCAGCAGUGGGGAAUUUUGGACAAUGGACGCAAGUCUGAUCCAGCCAUGCCGCGUGCGGGAAGAAGGCCUUCGGGUUGUAAACCGCUUUUGUCAGGGAAGAAAAGGUUCUGGUUAAUACCUGGGACUCAUGACGGUACCUGAAGAAUAAGCACCGGCUAACUACGUGCCAGCAGCCGCGGUAAUACGUAGGGUGCAAGCGUUAAUCGGAAUUACUGGGCGUAAAGCGUGCGCAGGCGGUUAUGCAAGACAGAUGUGAAAUCCCCGGGCUCAACCUGGGAACUGCAUUUGUGACUGCAUAGCUAGAGUACGGUAGAGGGGGAUGGAAUUCCGCGUGUAGCAGUGAAAUGCGUAGAUAUGCGGAGGAACACCGAUGGCGAAGGCAAUCCCCUGGACCUGUACUGACGCUCAUGCACGAAAGCGUGGGGAGCAAACAGGAUUAGAUACCCUGGUAGUCCACGCCCUAAACGAUGUCAACUGUUGUUGGGAGGGUUUCUUCUCAGUAACGAAGCUAACGCGUGAAGUUGACGCCUGGGGNGNGCGCGAGUAGUUAGAGAGAGUUAGNGNGNGNGNGNGCGAGNGAGACGAGGAGAG